GACGAACCAAAGUGGCCCGGUUCCUCUCGGUUCUGAGUGCCGCUUUGCGUUUGUCAUCCUUCCAGAGAGCUGCGUCUACCGUUUACUCGGCCGGACGUAUGCGAUCUGGAUCUAUUACUUUGAAAAAAUUAGAGUGUUUAAAGCAGGCUUAUGCUCUGAAUACAUUAGCAUGGAAUAAUAAUUUAGGACUUUGGUUCUAUUUUGUUGGUUUCUAGGACUGAAGUA
rnacentral:rRNA from 1 species